GAUUAACGCUAGCGGCAGGCCUAAUACAUGCAAGUCGCACGGGAUUUCGGGUAGCAAUAUCUGAAUGAGAGUGGCGCACGGGUGCGUAACACGUGUGCAAUCUACCUUUAACUGGGGAAUAGCUCACCGAAAGGUGAAUUAAUACCGCAUAAAAUCACAGAAGGACAUCCUUCAAUGAUUAAACCUACGGGGGUUAAAGAUGAGCAUGCGUCCGAUUAGCUAGNGGCGGGUAAUAGCCCACCAAGGCAACGAUCGGUAGGGGUCUGAGAGGAUGAUCCCCCACACUGGUACUGAGAUACGGACCAGACUCCUACGGGAGGCAGCAGUAAGGAAUAUUGGACAUGGGGCAACCCUGAUCCAGCCAUGCCGCGUGAAGGAUUAAGGCCCUAUGGGUCGUAAAACUUUCUUUACAGGAGACCAAAACCCCCGUACGUGUACGGGCUGAUGGUACUCUG
rnacentral:rRNA from 1 species